AAAAACAUCGCCUCUUGAUGAAUUAUAAGAGGUCUAGCCUGCCCAGUGAAAUAUUUAACGGCCGCGGUACCCUGACCGUGCGAAGGUAGCAUAAUCACUUGUUCUUUAAAUAGGGACUAGUAUCAACGGCACCACGAGGAUUACACUGUCUCCUUUCUCCAAUCAGUGAAACUGAUCUUCCCGUGAAGAAGCGGGGAUAUAACUAUAAGACGAGAAGACCCCAUGGAGCUUUAAAUUUCACAGCAACUCAGUCAAAUAAACCCUUAUAAGUCACAGAACUAUGCAUAACAAUUUUAGGUUGGGGUGACCGCGGAGUAAAAAUUAACCUCCACGACGAAUAGAACUAAACCUUUAUCCAAGAGCCACAACUCUAAGAAUUAGCACACUAACGAUUAAUGACCCGAUAAUCGAUCAACGGACCAAGUUACCCUGGGGAUAACAGCGCAAUCUACUUCAAGAGUCCAUAUCGACAAGUAGGCUUACGACCUCGAUGUUGGAUCAGGGUAUCCUAGUGGUGCAGCCGCUACUAAUGGUUCGUUUGUUCAACGAUUAAAACCCUACGUGAUCUGAGUUCCAGACCGGA
rnacentral:rRNA from 1 species